AACGAACGCUGGCGGCAGGCCUAAAACAUGCAAGUCGAACGCUGUAGCAAUACAGAGUGGCGCACGGGUGAGUAACACGUGGGAAUGUGCCUUUUGGUACGGAACAACUUUUGGAAACGAGAGCUAAUACCGUAUGGUCCCUUCUGCGUAAAGAUUUAACGCCAAAAGGGCAGCCCGAUUCCGAUUAGGUAGUUGGUAGGGCAAUGGCCUACCAAGGCGACGAUCAGUAGCUGGUCUGAGAGGACGGUCAGCCACACUGGGACUGGGACACGGCGCAGACUCCUACGGGAGGCAGCAGUUAGGAAUAUUGGACAAUGGGCGCAAGCCUGAUCCAGCCAUGCCGCGUGAGUGAUGAAGGCCUUCGGGUUGUAAAGCUCUUUAGUCCACGAAUAUAAUGACUGUAGUGGAAGAAUAAGCCCCGGCUAACUUCGUGCCAGCCGCCGCAGUAACAC
rnacentral:rRNA from 1 species